AAAGCACUUUCUUUUUGUGACUUAAGAACUAGUUUGACCAACUAGCAGUUAGCCAAGAGAUAAUCAGUCUCACUUUUCUAAUUAAAAUUGGGCCAAUCUACAUUUUUGUUACUGACUUUAAACAGUUAUGACCAGUCUAGAACAAAACAAGUUAGAUGGCUAAC